rnacentral:rRNA from 1 species
GGGGAAUAUUGGACAAUGGGGGCAACCCUGAUCCAGCAAUGCCGCGUGAGUGAUGAAGGCCUUAGGGUUGUAAAGCUCUUUCGCACGCGACGAUGAUGACGGUAGCGUGAGAAGAAGCCCCGGCUAACUUCGUGCCAGCAGCCGCGGUAAUACGAAGGGGGCGAGCGUUGUUCGGAAUUACUGGGCGUAAAGGGCGCGUAGGCGGCCUGUUUAGUCAGAAGUGAAAGCCCCGGGCUUAACCUGGGAACGGCUUUUGAUACUGGCAGGCUUGAGUUCCGGAGAGGAUGGUGGAAUUCCCAGUGUAGAGGUGAAAUUCGUAGAUAUUGGGAAGAACACCGGUGGCGAAGGCGGCCAUCUGGACGGACACUGACGCUGAGGCGCGAAAGCGUGGGGAGCAAAC